GCCCUUAGAGUUUGAUCAUGGCUCAGGAUGAACGCUAGCGGCAGGCUUAAUACAUGCAAGUCGAACGGUAACUUAGAUGCUUCGGCAUUUAAGACGAGUGGCGCACGGGUGCGUAACACGUAUGCAACUUACCCUAAACAGGGGCAUAACUCCGCGAAAGCGGGGCUAAUACCCCAUAGUAUUCUUUUAAGGCAUCUUAGAAGGAUUAAAGUCUAUAAGGCGGUUUAGGAUGGGCAUGCGCCCCAUUAGUUAGUUGGCGAGGUAACGGCUCACCAAGACUGUGAUGGGUAGGGGUUCUGAGAGGAUUAUCCCCCACACUGGUACUGAGACACGGACCAGACUCCUACGGCAGGCAGCAGUAAGGAAUAUUGGGCAAUGGGCGAGAGCCUGACCCAGCCAUGCCGCGUGCA
rnacentral:rRNA from 1 species